rfam:Rhizopus microsporus genome assembly, contig: SCAF148
GCCGAUGUAGUGAAGAGGAUUAUCACGCGUGUUUCGGAUACACGAGAUCCCGGGUUCGAAUCCCGGCUUCGGCC